rnacentral:rRNA from 1 species
GACGAACGCUGGCGGCGUGCCUAAUACAUGCAAGUUGAGCGCUGAAGGUUGGUACUUGUACCAACUGGAUGAGCAGCGAACGGGUGAGUAACGCGUGGGGAAUCUGCCUUUGAGCGGGGGACAACAUUUGGAAACGAAUGCUAAUACCGCAUAAAAACUUUAAACACAAGUUUUAAGUUUGAAAGAUGCAAUUGCAUCACUCAAAGAUGAUCCCGCGUUGUAUUAGCUAGUUGGUGAGGUAAAGGCUCACCAAGGCGAUGAUACAUAGCCGACCUGAGAGGGUGAUCGGCCACAUUGGGACUGAGACACGGCCCAAACUCCUACGGGAGGCAGCAGUAGGGAAUCUUCGGCAAUGGACGAAAGUCUGACCGAGCAACGCCGCGUGAGUGAAGAAGGUUUUCGGAUCGUAAAACUCUGUUGGUAGAGAAGAACGUUGCUGAGAGUGGAAAGCUCAUCAAGUGACGGUAACUACCCAGAAAGGGACGGCUAACUACGUG